rnacentral:lncRNA from 1 species
UGGCUCUUCUUUGCUGGUCAUACAUGCAUGUAGACUUGGCUUCUCUAAUUAUCUGAUCUAUUGGGCGCUAUUUUAGCUAUGGGCAGUUCACACCAUAAGGCACCACUCCCAUGGGCAGUCUUGACGCAUAGGUGCGUUGCUCCACCUGGCUUCUGAUUCUUGUAGUACGACCACGGGCAGCUCACACUAUAGGUUGAUCAUCCCUAUAGGCAGCCUGGACGUGUGAUUGCCCAAUAGAUUUUCGGGUGGUGGUGAACUAGCUCAAAACACUUUUCCAAAUCAAAUAUACAUACAAAUAUGCAUAUGUAUUUAUAACAUAACCUCAAACAUUCAUCACAUCCUAGUUCCACUCUUUGGAUAGAAAAUACGUUAUAAAACCAAAUCUGAUUUCUUAUUUUAAAACAAAGCAUUUUCACAAUUCUCACAGAAAUAGAAAACACCGAAGCUAGAAAGAAGACCGCUUAUCGGGUAGGCCAGCUACCACACCUCCUAGGUGCUUGAUUCUUUGAAAGCUUCUCUAGGGUUAUUUUCUUCUCCUGUACAUUUGUAAGUGCACCUUGGUUAAUGCAAUGCACUACAUGAUGUGUGAAUGCAAGAAUGCAUGAUAUGCUUCAUGCUUGUCCAUUUUCAUUUAGUUUAAUCUUUCACCAACUUAGCCAAUUUGCCAUUGCUAAGCUUUCCACUAUUUUCACAAUUGUCUUUUAGAUUCUUCCUCAUGGCACUAACACAUUUAACAUCACCUUUUAUGUCUCAUCUCUCUUUCUUAUAGCUAUUUAUCCUUCUUACUAUUUAGCUUAGUAUGACCAUAAUUCAACCCUUAAACAGUUCACUUAACACACAGCACACACUUCAUUCUAAUCUCUACACCACACGCCAAUUGUACACACCAUAAACAUCUUCAUUCACAUUCUGCCCUGUUUUAGAGAUGCUGAUAAAUUAACGAAAAUCUAAUGUAUUUCAGAAGCUAAGUUCAUAUUCCAACUCCAUCAGACCCAAAUCAAACUAGUUCAAUUUGGCCUAAACAAACCUAACUUCCAUGAAUUUCUUCAUAUGGCAGCAACAUAACAUCAAGGUCUUUAACCCUAAAUCACAUAACUUGAUCAAAAGAAUGAUAAUUCACGUAUUUAACACCCAAACUGCAAAUUAAAACAAGUUACAAGUUAGAACUCUUACCCUCUUUGCUGAAAAUGCAAGAACAAUCACAAAACAGUAUGCUGCCUUCUUCAGAAGCAGCAAUACUCUCCUCCAAUCCUCCAAACUUCACUUCAUUGGUAUUAAACCAAGUCCUCUAAGCCUUGUUCUCUUAGUUUAGGACCUGAAAUUCUCUUUCUUUUUUUCUGAUCUCUCUCUCUCUCUCUCUCUCUUAGUCUUAGUCUCUCUCUCUUUCUUUCUUUUGUUCUAAUGUAGAAGUGAAACAAAUGGAAGGAAUGAAUGGAGGUGGUGGGCUGUUUUGGGUGAUAAGGGGCAGCAAGCUGCUGCAUGGCACAAGGAGCAGAAGACACCAAGAAUAGAAAGAAAGAUGUGAGGGGAGGUGUUGACAUGUGGCAACUUUGGUACUUUGACCAUUUUGCCCUUCCUACUAACACAAUUUUGCAAAAUUGCCACCCAUGCACACAUGCACUUUCACAUGAAUUCCCUGCACUCCCCUUCUUGUUUAUGGCAUGACAUCCCAACACUAGGCCACAUGAAUUCUCACCAACAUUUUGCUAUGCAUACCUUAUAAUAUCUCUCUUUUAAUCUAUUUUGUACUAUGCUCAUAUACUAAUCACUAAUUUUCCUUCAUUCCCACUAAUGCCACU